rnacentral:rRNA from 1 species
GAUGAACGCUGGCGGCGUGCCUAAUACAUGCAAGUCGAGCGAACGGACGAGAAGCUUGCUUCUCUGAUGUUAGCGGCGGACGGGUGAGUAACACGUGGAUAACCUACCUAUAAGACUGGGAUAACUUCGGGAAACCGGAGCUAGUACCGGAUAAUAUUUUGAACCGCAUGGUUCAAAAGUGAAAGACGGUCUUGCUGUCACUUAUAGAUGGAUCCGCGCUGCAUUAGCUAGUUGGUAAGGUAACGGCUUACCAAGGCAACGAUGCAUAGCCGACCUGAGAGGGUGAUCGGCCACACUGGAACUGAGACACGGUCCAGACUCCUACGGGAGGCAGCAGUAGGGAAUCUUCCGCAAUGGGCGAAAGCCUGACGGAGCAACGCCGCGUGAGUGAUGAAGGUCUUCGGAUCGUAAAACUCUGUUAUUAGGGAAGAACAUAUGUGUAAGUAACUGUGCACAUCUUGACGGUACCUAAUCAGAAAGCCACGGCUAACUACGUGCCAGCAGCCGCGGUAAUACGUAGGUGGCAAGCGUUAUCCGGAAUUAUUGGGCGUAAAGCGCGCGUAGGCGGUUUUUUAAGUCUGAUGUGAAAGCCCACGGCUCAACCGUGGAGGGUCAUUGGAAACUGGAAAACUUGAGUGCAGAAGAGGAAAGUGGAAUUCCAUGUGUAGCGGUGAAAUGCGCAGAGAUAUGGAGGAACACCAGUGGCGAAGGCGACUUUCUGGUCUGUAACUGACGCUGAUGUGCGAAAGCGUGGGGAUCAAACAGGAUUAGAUACCCUGGUAGUCCACGCCGUAAACGAUGAGUGCUAAGUGUUAGGGGGGUUCCGCCCCUUAGUGCUGCAGCUAACGCAUUAAGCACUCCGCCUGGGGAGUACGACCGCAAGGUUGAAACUCAAAGGAAUUGACGGGGACCCGCACAAGCGGUGGAGCAUGUGGUUUAAUUCGAAGCAACGCGAAGAACCUUACCAAAUCUUGACAUCCCUUGACAACUCUAGAGAUAGAGCCUUCCCCUUCGGGGGACAAAGUGACAGGUGGUGCAUGGUUGUCGUCAGCUCGUGUCGUGAGAUGUUGGGUUGAGUCCCGCAACGAGCGCAACCCUUAAGCUUAGUUGCCAUCAUUAAGUUGGGCACUCUAAGUUGACUGCCGGUGACAAACCGGAGGAAGGUGGGGAUGACGUCAAAUCAUCAUGCCCCUUAUGAUUUGGGCUACACACGUGCUACAAUGGACAAUACAAAGGGCAGCGAAACCGCGAGGUCAAGCAAAUCCCAUAAAGUUGUUCUCAGUUCGGAUUGUAGUCUGCAACUCGACUACAUGAAGCUGGAAUCGCUAGUAAUCGUAGAUCAGCAUGCUACGGUGAAUACGUUCCCGGGUCU